UACGUAGGGUGCAAGCGUUGUCCGGAAUUAUUGGGCGUAAAGAGCUCGUAGGCGGCUUGUCACGUCGGGUGUGAAAGCCCGGGGCUUAACCCCGGGUCUGCAUUCGAUACGGGCGAGCUAGAGUGUGGUAGGGGAGAUCGGAAUUCCUGGUGUAGCGGUGAAAUGCGCAGAUAUCAGGAGGAACACCGGUGGCGAAGGCGGGUCUCUGGGCAACAACUGACGCUGAGGAGCGAAAGCGUGGGGAGCGAACAGG
rnacentral:rRNA from 1 species